UACGGAGGGGGCUAGCGUUGUUCGGAAUUACUGGGCGUAAAGCGCACGUAGGCGGCUUUGUAAGUUAGAGGUGAAAGCCCAGGGCUUAACCCUGGAAUUGCCUUUAAGACUGCAUCGCUAGAAUCGUGGAGAGGUGAGUGGAAUUCCGAGUGUAGAGGUGAAAUUCGUAGAUAUUCGCAAGAACACCAGUGGCGAAGGCGGCUCACUGGCCCAUAACUGACGCUGACGGCACGAAAGCGUGGGGAGCAAACAGG
rnacentral:rRNA from 1 species